UUGCUUUGGGGAUGUACUAGUCCAUGAAAUCAACCUACCUCCAUCCUUUCACUUUGUCAGCUGUUUUUUUUUUCUUUUCUUUUUUUGUGUCUUGCUGAUCAUUGUUGGAUGGAAUAGUU